AAACUAGAGGCUCUAAAGAGCCUGUGUCGCUCACCUUGGUCUAUGUGCAUAUUAAACAAAGGACACAAAUGGAUUCAUGACAAAAUUGUAUUUUGGUGAUGGUGAUGUGUUUGAAGUUUUUACUUUACUGAACGAUUUUGCUUCUUACAAUUAUAUCUAUAAUGAACUUUGCCCAUUAGUAACAGAGAACUAUAUUUGGUAAAAAUUUACAUAAAUUUACCAAAUUAAUGAAAAUUGUUUAAAAUUGACUAUAAAGGGCAAUAACUCCUUAAGGGGUCAAUUGACCAUUUAGGUCAUGUUGACUUAUUUG
rnacentral:lncRNA from 1 species